GAUGAACGCUGGCGGCGUGCCUAAUACAUGCAAGUCGAGCGAAUGGAUUAAGAGCUUGCUCUUAUGAAGUUAGCGGCGGACGGGUGAGUAACACGUGGGUAACCUGCCCAUAAGACUGGGAUAACUCCGGGAAACCGGGGCUAAUACCGGAUAAUAUUUUGAACUGCAUGGUUCAAAAUUGAGAGGCGGCUUCGGCUGUCACUUAUGGAUGGACCCGCGUCGCAUUAGCUAGUUGGUGAGGUAACGGCUCACCAAGGCAACGAUGCGGAGCCGACAUGAGAGGGUGACCGGCCACACUGGGACUGAGACACGGCCCAGACUCCUACGGGAGGCAGCAGUAGGGAAUCUUCCGCAAUGGACGAAAGUCUGACGGAGCAACGCCGCGUGAGUGAUGAAGGCUUUCGGGUCGUAAAACUCUGUUGUUAGGGAAGAACAAGUGCUAGUUGAAUAAGCUGGCACCUUGACGGUACCUAACCAGAAAGCCACGGCUAACUACGUGCCAGCAGCCGCAGUAA
rnacentral:rRNA from 1 species